GACAGAGGGCGCAAACGUUGUUCGGAAUUACUGGGCGUAAAGCGCGUGUAGGCUGCUCUGCAAGUCGGGUGUGAAAGCCCCGGGCUCAACCUGGGAAGUGCACUCGAAACUGCAGAGCUCGAGUCCUGGAGAGGAAGGCGGAAUUCUCGGUGUAGAGGUGAAAUUCGUAGAUAUCGAGAGGAACACCGGUGGCGAAGGCGGCCUUCUGGACAGUGACUGACGCUGAGACGCGAAAGCGUGGGGAGCAAACAGG
rnacentral:rRNA from 1 species